rnacentral:rRNA from 1 species
UGAGGAAUAUUGGUCAAUGGGCGAGAGCCUGAACCAGCCAAGUAGCGUGCAGGAUGACGGCCCUAUGGGUUGUAAACUGCUUUUAUAAGGGAAUAAAGUGGGUCUCGUGAGACUUUUUGCAUGUACCUUAUGAAUAAGGACCGGCUAAUUCCGUGCCAGCAGCCGCGGUAAUACGGAAGGUCCGGGCGUUAUCCGGAUUUAUUGGGUUUAAAGGGAGCGUAGGCCGUCUGUUAAGCGUGUUGUGAAAUGUCGGGGCUCAACCUGGGCAUUGCAGCGCGAACUGGUCUUCUUGAGUACGCACAACGUGGGCGGAAUUCGUGGUGUAGCGGUGAAAUGCUUAGAUAUCACGAAGAACUCCGAUUGCGAAGGCAGCUCACGGGAGCGCAACUGACGCUGAAGCUCGAAAGUGCGGGUAUCGAACAGGAUUAGAUACCCUGGUAGU